UUCCUAAGUCUUUCUAUUUUUUUCUGAUAAACUGUUUGUUUAACAGAUUUAAGAGCCUCAAACAAUCAUGCCAACAGAGGAAAAAUAGAAUGACAUUUACCAUAUUUACAAUGUCUCCAUCAAGGGAAUCCAUCUGUGUGUUCACUUACAGGAACACAGCCUUGCAUAGAGGAGGAGACUUGAGAUUUAUUGUUGUUUCCUGGCUAAUUACUAUUUAAACGCUGAAACUCAUACUCCAGGUGUGGAGGGAUGCAACAACUACUCCACAUUUAUAGUGACUUUAGCUCUACAAUUUUAUCCAGAGAGCUUUCCUGAUGCUGGUACCUCAUUAUCCAGUAAGAUUAGAUCCUAAAGGGGAAAGGUGAGCUAGACAAAGGGCACUAUGAAUUUCCUGUUUGUUUUCUCAGUUUUGUUUGUUUUCUCCCCAAGUCUACAUACUAACUGUAAAGUCAGAUAAGGUUGAAAAACUCAGACAUAGAAAAAAUAUAGAAAUAAACAAAUAAAGAUAUACA
rnacentral:lncRNA from 1 species